UAGUUCAGUUGGUAGAGCGCUCCACCGGAAAUGGAGAGGUCCCUGGUUCGAUACCAGG
rnacentral:tRNA from 1 species